AAUUGGGAGAACUUUUGUGAUUAGUAAUAGUGAGAAUUAGGAAUGGAUUGAGACUUGAAUGUUGCUGCUGCAUAUUGUCAAAAACGGUGAGGAUGUUGCAUAUUGUCUGUUUCCUCAUUUACCUGCAGGGGAAUAGGCGGUCAUUUAUUAUGAAAAACAAUAUUGCUUAUAAGGGAAAGGGCAUAGCAUUUGUUGGAUGCUUUGAUUUAUGCUUAGGCCAUAUGAUACCCUGCAGCUUCCUGUUCGUAGGACAUUGCAAUUUGCAAGCAAUGCACAAGGUUGGCAAAUUAUAGCAAAGCAUUCGAGGUAAUGUUUAAUUUUGUUAAUACUCUUUGCUGUUUUCAUAUUUACUAAUUUAGUUGCCUUGCCCCAGACAUAGAAACUUCUUUAUCAAGGUUCUUACGUUAUUAAAUUUCCCAGAACUAAAGAAAUUCCAAUUCUGUGAAAGGCUCUCCUUAUGAUGCAAAUGAUGCAGCAAUAUGGAUAAGAAAACUUAGACUUGUAGCUUCUUUGAAUUUGCCUGUUACAUAUACUGGAGUCUUCAAUGGGGAAAGACUGUACAAACAUGAGUAUAAUACUACAGUCACAGUGUAUGCUGAGGCAAUCAUUGCUGCCUUACGUUUCUUUUACAUUGAGA
rnacentral:misc_RNA from 1 species